rnacentral:sRNA from 1 species
UCCAAGGAUAAGGGGCUUCACUUUUCCCAAGUAGGGGAAAGAGAAGGGGUCUACAGGGCUAGGGGUGCAGGGAGCGGAUGCAGUGAGCAGCCUCCGCAGAGAAAUUGACAAUUUAACCAGGGACCUGCGGCAGAGAGAAGGCGGAGACACUCCCUUGCCCAGGAAAGCCGCCAGAGUCCGGCUUGUACCUGGGGAAGAAUCCUUAAGACGAUCUGGCCGAACACUUCUUUGCUCACAGAGAAAGGGGAGAAGACUCCCGAGGGUGAAAAUGGUACAGUUGGAGCUGGAACUCAGCUCGCUGACCCCAAGCAGUGUUCCCUUCUUUUCGCCGGGUUUGCAUCCAAGAGAGGGGAGGACAGGGGCAAAAGGAUGCAGGGAGGCUGCUGAUUUCCACUGGAGAGCUAAUUUCCUGUGAGAUAUUAACCGUGAUUUAAGAAAAAAAUUCCUGUAACUGUAAUGUCUUACAAUAACAGAAUGCAGGAGAGCACAUAUCAAUGAAGAAAAGACAAAAUGUAUUUAUCCAUGAAGCUGAGGUUAAGAAACCAGUGUCUUCAAGAGCCGGGGACAGCACUGGGUCUGUGCAGAGUUGAGAGAUGGUGAUGACAUGUGGUUUCCAGCAUUCCUGGCCCAGUCCAGGGACACUGUGGGUGUGCCCAGCUUAAGUCCAGUAAC